rnacentral:tRNA from 1 species
GGGGUAUCGCCAAGCGGUAAGGCACCAGAUUUAGGUUCUGGCGCCGCAAGGUGUGCGAGUUCAAGUCUCGCCUCCCGCACCA